GGUCAUUUGAUGAGCCGUAAGAACUUAAAAAUGGAGCAGAAUGGAAGGAGGAGGUAAAAGGGCGUGACGAAUUCCUAUCCAAACGAGAGGAGUUACCGGACGGACGAGGAUGAAGAAAAUCAUAAGAGCCAAUCGCUCUCCUCAAUGGGGAGUUUCCAGAGGUGCCUUCUUCAUACUCAUGAUAAGUUUGUGCUAGACUACUGUCAUCUAACGCCAUUGUACUUGAAUAGCCAUGAUGUGAAUAUGCUUCAUCUUUAUGAGGUUGGGUGGAACAAUGAGCGGAUGAGGUAACCAGGGUUUCGGAAGGGAA